rnacentral:tRNA from 1 species
GGGGUUGUGGCUCAGUGGUAGAGCGCUUGGCUAGCAUGUGAGAGGCACUGGGUUCAAUUCUCAGCACCA